rnacentral:rRNA from 1 species
UGGGAAGGCCCAGACAGCCAGGAUGUUGGCUUAGAAGCAGCCAUCAUUUAAAGAAAGCGUAAUAGCUCACUGGUCGAGUCGGCCUGCGCGGAAGAUGUAACGGGGCUAAACCAUGCACCGAAGCUGCGGCAGCGACACCGUGUGUUGUUGGGUAGGGGAGCGUUCUGUAAGCCUGUGAAGGUGUGCUGUGAGGCAUGCUGGAGGUAUCAGAAGUGCGAAUGCUGACAUAAGUAACGAUAAAGCGGGUGAAAAGCCCGCUCGCCGGAAGACCAAGGGUUCCUGUCCAACGUUAAUCGGGGCAGGGUGAGUCGACCCCUAAGGCGAGGCCGAAAGGCGUAGUCGAUGGGAAACGGGUUAAUAUUCCCGUACUUGGUGUUACUGCGAAGGGGGGACGGAGAAGGCUAUGUUGGCCGGGCGACGGUUGUCCCGGUUUAAGCGUGUAGGUAUGUGUUCCAGGUAAAUCCGGUUCACUUUAACACUGAGGCGUGACGACGAGGCACUACGGUGCUGAAGCAACAAAUGCCCUGCUUCCAGGAAAAGCCUCUAAGCAUCAGGUAACAUCAAAUCGUACCCCAAACCGACACAGGUGGUCAGGUAGAGAAUACCAAGGCGCUUGAGAGAACUCGGGUGAAGGAACUAGGCAAAAUGGUGCCGUAACUUCGGGAGAAGGCACGCUGACACGUAGGUGAAGUGAUUUACUCACGGAGCUGAAGUCAGCCGAAGAUACCAGCUGGCUGCAACUGUUUAUUAAAAACACAGCACUGUGCAAACACGAAAGUGGACGUAUACGGUGUGACGCCUGCCCGGUGCCGGAAGGUUAAUUGAUGGGGUCAGCGCAAGCGAAGCUCCUGAUCGAAGCCCCGGUAAACGGCGGCCGUAACUAUAACGGUCCUAAGGUAGCGAAAUUCCUUGUCGGGUAAGUUCCGACCUGCACGAAUGGCGUAAUGAUGGCCAGGCUGUCUCCACCCGAGACUCAGUGAAAUUGAACUCGCUGUGAAGAUGCAGUGUACCCGCGGCAAGACGGAAAGACCCCGUGAACCUUUACUAUAGCUUGACACUGAACAUUGAGCCUUGAUGUGUAGGAUAGGUGGGAGGCUUUGAAGUGUGGACGCCAGUCUGCAUGGAGCCGACCUUGAAAUACCACCCUUUAAUGUUUGAUGUUCUAACGUGGACCCGUGAUCCGGGUUGCGGACAGUGUCUGGUGGGUAGUUUGACUGGGGCGGUCUCCUCCUAAAGAGUAACGGAGGAGCACGAAGGUUGGCUAAUCCUGGUCGGACAUCAGGAGGUUAGUGCAAUGGCAUAAGCCAGCUUGACUGCGAGCGUGACGGCGCGAGCAGGUGCGAAAGCAGGUCAUAGUGAUCCGGUGGUUCUGAAUGGAAGGGCCAUCGCUCAACGGAUAAAAGGUACUCCGGGGAUAACAGGCUGAUACCGCCCAAGAGUUCAUAUCGACGGCGGUGUUUGGCACCUCGAUGUCGGCUCAUCACAUCCUGGGGCUGAAGUAGGUCCCAAGGGUAUGGCUGUUCGCCAUUUAAAGUGGUACGCGAGCUGGGUUUAGAACGUCGUGAGACAGUUCGGUCCCUAUCUGCCGUGGGCGCUGGAGAACUGAGGGGGGCUGCUCCUAGUACGAGAGGACCGGAGUGGACGCAUCACUGGUGUUCGGGUUGUCAUGCCAAUGGCACUGCCCGGUAGCUAAAUGCGGAAGAGAUAAGUGCUGAAAGCAUCUAAGCACGAAACUUGC